UUCCUCUCCCAGGCCCACUCCCUAAUAUCUGAACCUCCUCUGCCUCUGUCUGAACAAGAGGGCAGCAGAAGAAGCUGUGAGGGCUAAACCUGGCGCUCCGUACGCCGCGGCAGUGGGAUGGUGCGGAAAAGCUGGAGAGCAUCAGAUGCCGCUCAGAACUGACAACCAGGAAGCCCUGAGUGUUGUAGCGAGGCAUGUGUUUCACUGCACAGGCCAAGCUGUGUGUCUGGACCCCUUGUGCCAGAACACUGAUAGAUGACAAAACAUACUUUGGAGAAGAGUGCUUCGGAAAGGGCCCACGGCUGUCAGAGAGAGAGAGAGCGCGGAAAGGCAGGUGGCUGGAGGGGACGCUCAGGGCGUGGAGAACCUGCCACCAGGAAACAGCCAUGGCAGCGGCAGAGCAUCCUCCCCGUAGCAAAGUAGAGAACAGAAGAUGAGCAAAACUGUCAGGAAACGAGGAGGUGCUGUUGGAGGUCUGCAGGUGGUGAUGGCAAAGGUUGUAUUACUCCUAACUGACAGGCUGCCUGUUGCUUUGUUAUCACAUAUUUAGUAUUGGCCAACUUGCAACUUGUCACUGCCUUGGCUGAGAAUAAAUCACUUGUCCCAAAUCUAAGAUGGUGGAAUAUGCAGAUGACUUUCUUUGCUGCCCACACAAAAGUUUGUUAUCUUAAUUGCUUUUAAUAUGAAGGUCUCAGGAGCUCCACAUCGAUGCCUCUUACUUUUAGGUAAGUGACACCAGGACCAAACUAUUCUUCU